GUGCUCACUUUGGCAGCACAUAUACUCAAAUUUGAAUGAUACAGAGAAGAUUAACAUGGUCCCUGUGCAAAGAUGGCACACAAAUUUGUGAAGCGUUACAUAUUUUU